CCGAAUAGUUCCGGGUUCAAGUCCCGGGCAACCCA
rnacentral:tRNA from 1 species